GCAAGCCGAGUGCGACAAAAGUCGCAAGCUCGGAUUUCAAAGGGAGAUGCGAAGCGCAUGAUAGCCCCCAUCGACCCUAC
rnacentral:ncRNA from 1 species